UUUUUUUGGUAAUGUUCUUGGUGUUGGCA
rnacentral:piRNA from 1 species